GAUGAACGCUGGCGGCGUGCCUAAUACAUGCAAGUCGAGCGAACAGACGAGGAGCUUGCGCCUCUGACGUUAGCGGCGGACGGGUGAGUAACACGUGUAUAACCUACUUAUAAGACGGGUAUAACUUCGGGAAACCGGAGCUAAUACCGGAGAAUAUAUUGAACCGCAUGGUGGAAUAGUGAAAGACGGUUUUGCGGUCACGUAUAGAUGGAUCCGCGCGGCAUUAGCUGGUUGGUAGGUUAACGGCUUACCAAGGCAACGAUGCGUAGCCGAACUGAGAGGGUGAUAGGCGACAUGGGAAGUGGGCCACGGACCAGAGUCCUACGGGAGGCCGCAGUAGGGAAUCUUACGCAGUAGGGGAAAGCAUGACGGAGCGACGCCGAGUGAGUGAUGAAGGUGUUCGGAUCGUAAAACUCUGUUAUUAGGGAAAAACAAAUGUGUAAGUAACUAUGCACGUAUUGACGGUAACUAAUAAAAAAGCACCGGCUAACUACGUG
rnacentral:rRNA from 1 species